AACUAAUUUCGCAAAUGGGAGCAGGUGAAAACAUGAUUAUUUGAACAAAUCAAGAGCACGUACAGUAACUUACGAAAGUAUUCGAACACUUGUAGAAACCUUUUACCACUAUAUUCUGUGUGUUAUACGAAACAUCUUGAAAUUUCAGUAAUAGUGUAAUGAGACCGGUUAUCACAGUUAUAUUGGUACAGCUUGAAAUAAAUCUGAAAAUGUACAUGGAAGCUACAACGUAUUUAGUGGAAAUCAGUUUCAGAUUUAACAAAUAUAAUGAAGACAAUCAUGUCUCAUUAGAGCAAUAACGAAAUUUCGAAAUGUUUUAUAUAACGCUUAUAAUGUAUACAUAAAAAUUUUCUAUAUUUCACAACGUUCCACGUAAAAGAUGAAUUACGAUAGCAACUGCAAAUUACGAGUAGCUGCAAUGCAUUGACAAGUACUCGGAGAAGCAAGUUAACAUCUACUCGUUAAUGAAAAUUUCGCAUAGUUGUUCAUAUACGAUGAGAUUAUUUCGCGUUUUUCAACAACAGAGAUAACAAAUGAGGAUGGGAGAAAUAUUCUGGAAGUAUGGAUUUUGAAUUAUAUAAUGUACAAUAUAAUAUAAAAAUAAAACUUUUGUUGUUAUUUCUAUACUCAGAGGUACAACAGAACAGUGAACUAAAUGAGCUCGAAUCAAUAAUGAAGCACAUCUGCACAUACUUUAGACAUUUGUUUUAUUAGAACAAAUAUAAGGUUCAUAAAUUACCACAUUGAAAACAUUCUUGAAAAUCAUCAGUAUAUGUCUGGAAAGCUACAAAUUACUCUCUAAUUAGAAAACGCUGCAAAAAAACUCUGACUGUAAUUUCAAAUUCUUAUGAUUUUAUUUGAAAUCUUACGUAAGUACAUAAUUAUAUGGAAUUUUUUGCCACACUGAGGGUGAGAUUAGAGAUCAAACUUCGUUUUACAUAAAAUUUAUCGAUGGAAUGGAAUAUGAAUUAUUGGAAAAUCUACCUACAGAAAAACACUUUUCAGAUCAGUUAUAAGAUUAAUAAUUUGUAUUUCUUUAGAAAUUUUUAAAUCAAUCAUGAAAAAAGGAAGCGAAAAAGUAAUUUAUCACAGUUCAAAGUACAAUGAAUAGGAAUUAGCUCUGAAAUCAUUAUUUCCACUCUUCGCGGCGAUGAUGUUUGUUGCUUUCUUAUCAUAAGAUCAGAUAUCUGCAUUACUUUCUGGCUUAAUUAGCGGAUCGUGUAAUCGCAAAUUAAUUUUCAUUUACGUGUUUUCACCCGCAUGCUCAUAUGCUGUAUGAUUUUAUUGUAACGCAGGUAUCUGCCUCACGAAACUAAUGCGAGUAAAUUGCACUUCAUAAUCACACGAUCGUACGCCUUGAUGCCUACCAUCGGAUAAUCAGGGCAUAUCAAGGUUGAUCCAAUAGAUCCCCAUUGGCGUACAUGCGGGUUGUAUUAUAAAGAUCUCACUUAUGAAGAUUCUGCAUCAUCAGUCCUACGCUUGUGAUCGGCGAGGGCUGAUAUCCAGGCUAAUGUCAGUGAAAUUAAGAUCAUUGCUGAUGCAAGUCUGCACCUUCAAGUGUCCUCGAAAUAUUUAAUCGCCUAUAUUAUUUCCAAAUUUCACUAGUUAUCUCUCUUUCAACGUAAUUUGCAUUAAAUAAAAAAUAUUUAGAUAGUUUCAUUGAAAAGUAUUUAAUCUAAUAUCGCAAAAUACAUCCUCGACAGUAUUUUUUAAAUAACAAAUUUUUCGCAAAAAGGACAUAUCCACUUCUAAAUGCGCUAAAAAAUAUGAAAUAAUUUCUUUUUUGUUUAUAUUAUAUUCGGACACAUAUGCAAUAAUGGUUCAAGUCACCCACUUACUUACAACACAACAUGUUCAAUAUAUUGCAACCUUUUCGAAAACGGCGCAAAAUGCUGUAAAAUGUUUCUAGUUUAGCAAUACUUGAGGUCUAUAUUAAUAAAUUUCAACCUGUUUAUCUUUAUCUGAUUCAAAUUUCAACAAAUUUACAUUUUAUUGCAUUAAAUUGCGAUAUAUUAUAGCACAAUGCCACCAAGAACAUGUUUUAAUAAUGGCCAAAUUGGUAAGCGCCGCUUGUAUCCGAGCGGAUACAAAUUGCAUUCAAUGUAAAUUAAUAGUGGACAGAUUAAAGAAAUUAUGUGUACAUCAAACUAGUCACUAACUUAAGAUACAAUCAUUACAAUUAUCGAUGUUGUAUAAUUAUAAAUAGGAACAGACUAUAUAUUAGUAGCAUUUUUAAUUUUGCACCGCCUUCGAAAGGGUUGCAAUAUACAUUUAAUAUGCUGUUUAGUAAGCGAAUGAAUGACCUUAACCGUUGUUGCAUAUGUGUUGGAAUAGAAUAUAAAUAAAAUAGAAAUUAUUUUAGACUUUCUAGCGAAUUUCGAAGUCGGUAACAUGCCUUUUAGAAAAAUUUUUAUCUCACAUUUGUUAGCAUAGUGAUUAAUAUUACAAAGCCAACGUAGAAUGAUUUCCAUUAUCGUUAAGAAGAUGGUAAUUUAUUUUUAUCUAUUUAUUAUUUAUUUCAAUUUUUAAUCCUUUUAAACGAAUCCGGAGAAUAAUUUUUUUUAUGGCGGAAACACGAGUUGAAGCCUAUAUUGAAAAUCACAAUCGUCGAACAAUUUCCUCAUGCAGAGUAAAUUACUGAAAUAGCGCUCGCAGGUUGCUGCUUUGAAUGCAGUACACGAAGAAGGAGUAAUUCUAGAGGACCGUUGCAUACAAUAAAAUAAGCCAAGAAAUCACGAGUUAUGUUGGGACGAAACAUAUCAAUUUCUGAUGGUUUGAUAAACGACGCUAUGGAAAUCGUAAAUGAAUUUACAUGGUCAGCACUUCGAAGAAAUCAGCUAGAAGUGGGAAAAUACUUACAUAAUUUGACGGCGAAUUCAUUGCAAGCAGAUUCAAAGAUACUGAUAGCUACAUUUCAAUAUCUUCAGUACUAACAACGAAGGUUAUGGAGAAGUUGAGCGAAGAAUAUUACCCUUAAUUCUAAGUUGGACAGUAACCGUAUAUAAAUUACACUAAAUAGAGUAAUUGAUCUUGACAAAAAGAAUUUCGCCAAGAUCUACGUUGCUCUUAGUCGUGUAAAAAAUUUGGACAACUACCCAAUCUUAUCACUUCCAGUGACGAGUUUGUGAAGAAACUAUCAGACACAAUGAAAUAAAAUGGGUGAAUAAUAAUAGGUCAUUUGCAAUAACAAUAGUUCACAGUAAACAAAUUGGAAAAAUUUUGUAAAUGGGACCAAUCGGUGAAUUAGUCCUACAAGAUACAGAAGGUUUCAUUCCGAUAAUUCAAUCCAGAGAGUAAUCGACGAACAUUAAAAUUAGAUUUUUGCAAAAAAGGUAGUUUACAAUAAACAAAACCAAAAAUUUUUUUGGCGGGACCAGUGGAAGAACAUGUCCUACGAGAUACAAAAGGAAUCAUCCCGAUUGGUCAAUCCGUUUCGUAGAAAUCGGCGAACAUACAUGAAAAAGAAAAAGAGGAAGAAGAUUACUUAUCAAAUUAAGAUACCUCCCUUUUUUUCCGAAGUCGGUAUAAAAAUAAUGCUGAUGAUUGCCGAUUAACUGAUUUACGAUUGAAGAUUGUAAUGAUAUUCAGUAGCAGAUAACAGGAAUGAGAAUUCUCUCGGUCAAAGCUAUCAUUUAUGUCAGUAAAACAACGUUUAUCUGGAAGUUAAUGAAUAGAGAAACUUGAACUAUGAGAUAAGAAUGCAUGGAAUAUUUAAUGCUACAAUGAUACAAUAGUUAAUUUUAGUAUCUUGUUUCUAAUUGUCUGUUUCGUAUUAGUGAAAUAUACUUGAAUAUAUAAACUCAUACUCAUGAUUUUAUUAACAUGUUUUAUAUUAUUAUGUUGAAGAAUUUCUGAAUUUGCAAUAUUCUGUUUAAAGUAAAAAAAUAUAUUUAUUCUUUUAUGUACAAAAAUUGAAGUAUGUAGUAUUUACAAGUAUCUUAUUUCUGCAAUAGCAUGUAAGUAACGCAAUGUA